rnacentral:rRNA from 1 species
AGAGUUUGAUCCUGGCUCAGGACGAACGCUGGCGGCGUGCCUAAUACAUGCAAGUAGAACGCUGAAGAGAGGAGCUUGCUCUUCUUGGAUGAGUUGCGAACGGGUGAGUAACGCGUAGGUAACCUGCCUUGUAGCGGGGGAUAACUAUUGGAAACGAUAGCUAAUACCGCAUAACAAUGGAUGACACAUGUCAUUUAUUUGAAAGGGGCAAUUGCUCCACUACAAGAUGGACCUGCGUUGUAUUAGCUAGUAGGUGAGGUAAUGGCUCACCUAGGCGACGAUACAUAGCCGACCUGAGAGGGUGAUCGGCCACACUGGGACUGAGACACGGCCCAGACUCCUACGGGAGGCAGCAGUAGGGAAUCUUCGGCAAUGGGGGCAACCCUGACCGAGCAACGCCGCGUGAGUGAAGAAGGUUUUCGGAUCGUAAAGCUCUGUUGUAAGUCAAGAACGGGUGUGAGAGUGGAAAGUUCACACUGUGACGGUAGCUUACCAGAAAGGGACGGCUAACUACGUGCCAGCAGCCACGGUAAUACGUAGGUCCCGAGCGUUGUCCGGAUUUAUUGGGCGUAAAGCGAGCGCAGGCGGUUUGAUAAGUCUGAAGUUAAAGGCUGUGGCUCAACCAUAGUUCGCUUUGGAAACUGUCAAACUUGAGUGCAGAAGGGGAGAGUGGAAUUCCAUGUGUAGCGGUGAAAUGCGUAGAUAUAUGGAGGAACACCGGUGGCGAAAGCGGCUCUCUGGUCUGUAACUGACGCUGAGGCUCGAAAGCGUGGGGAGCGAACAGGAUUAGAUACCCUGGUAGUCCACGCCGUAAACGAUGAGUGCUAGGUGUUGGAUCCUUUCCGGGAUUCAGUGCCGCAGCUAACGCAUUAAGCACUCCGCCUGGGGAGUACGACCGCAAGGUUGAAACUCAAAGGAAUUGACGGGGGCCCGCACAAGCGGUGGAGCAUGUGGUUUAAUUCGAAGCAACGCGAAGAACCUUACCAGGUCUUGACAUCCCGAUGCUAUUUCUAGAGAUAGAAGGUUACUUCGGUACAUCGGUGACAGGUGGUGCAUGGUUGUCGUCAGCUCGUGUCGUGAGAUGUUGGGUUAAGUCCCGCAACGAGCGCAACCCCUAUUGUUAGUUGCCAUCAUUCAGUUGGGCACUCUAGCGAGACUGCCGGUAAUAAACCGGAGGAAGGUGGGGAUGACGUCAAAUCAUCAUGCCCCUUAUGACCUGGGCUACACACGUGCUACAAUGGUUGGUACAACGAGUUGCGAGUCGGUGACGGCGAGCUAAUCUCUUAAAGCCAAUCUCAGUUCGGAUUGUAGGCUGCAACUCGCCUACAUGAAGUCGGAAUCGCUAGUAAUCGCGGAUCAGCACGCCGCGGUGAAUACGUUCCCGGGCCUUGUACACACCGCCCGUCACACCACGAGAGUUUGUAACACCCGAAGUCGGUGAGGUAACCUUUUGGAGCCAGCCGCCUAAGGUGGGACAGAUGAUUGGGGUGAAGUCGUAACAAGGUA